UACGGAGGGAGCUAGCGUUAUUCGGAAUUACUGGGCGUAAAGGGCGCGUAGGCGGCCUUCUAAGUCGAACGUGAAAUCCCCGGGCUCAACCCGGGAACUGCGUCCGAUACUGGAAGGCUUGAAUCCGGGAGAGGGAUGCGGAAUUCCAGGUGUAGCGGUGAAAUGCGUAGAUAUCUGGAGGAACACCGGUGGCGAAGGCGGCAUCCUGGACCGGCAUUGACGCUGAGGCGCGAAAGCCAGGGGAGCAAAGCGGG
rnacentral:rRNA from 1 species